AAUAUUGCACAAUGGGCGAAAGCCUGAUGCAGCGACGCCGCGUGAGGGAUGACGGCCUUCGGGUUGUAAACCUCUUUCAGCAGGGACGAAGCGAGCGUGACGGUACCUGCAGAAGAAGCGCCGGCCAACUUCGUGCCCGCAGCCGCGGUAAUACGUAGGGCGCAAGCGUUGUCCGGCAUUAUUGGGCGUAAAGUUCUCGUAGGCGGCUUAUCACGUCGGCUGUGAAAUCCCGAGGCUUAACCUCGGGCCUGCAGUCGAUACGGGUUGACUAGAGUGAAGCAGGGGAGACUGGAAUUCCUGGUGUAGCGGUGAAAUGCGCAGAUAUCAGGAGGAACACCGGUGGCGAAGGCGGGUCUCUGGGCUUUAACUGACGCUGAGGAGCGAAAGCGUGGGUAGCGAACA
rnacentral:rRNA from 1 species